rnacentral:lncRNA from 1 species
UGUCUUCCCAUUUGGGAUGCUUUCCUCUAACUGGUCCCCACCCUUCACCUAUUUUUAUAUAUACUUACCCUUUCCAAAUUGGUUUUUCUACACUGUCAUGCCCACCUUUGAGUUGUGCCUUCCCUUUAAACUUUUUUGCAUACUCACAAACCAAUCAGCAGGCACUCCCCAUUCUGAGUCCAUAAAGGGCCCCAGAACCAGCCACAUGGGGGAAUUAUUCCCCUCUCCCUGAAUCCUCUCUCUGCUUGAAAGCCGUUUUCAUUGCUCAAUAAAAUUCUUCUCCACUCUUCUCACCCUCCAAUGUUCCACGUAUCCUCAUUCUUCUUGGGUGCAAUUCAAGAGCUCAGGAACUGCCAAACGCAGGUACAACCUUAACACAGGCAAGCUGCGGCACACCCAGCGUGGCCGAGGGAGGCCCAAGCAGGGCGUAUCACUGGCCGGGCAUCCCUGGUUUGCAGAGUGACCAAGAAGAAAAAUCCUGCAUCAGUUUGAAGAGUGAACUGUGACAGAAUGUGCCAAUUGGGGCUGUCUUUAUAGCUUGGCUAAAAAGAAUCAACUUACACAGUUUCCAGGUGAGGAUGCUCUACAAAAGACCAUCAGCAAACACCUGCUCAAUAGGGUAAGGCUGGACCCACCAACCAAUACACAACACAAUAUGCAUGCUUCGAGUCACUCUCAGGUUGUUUAUGGUCACCUUCCCAGCAGAGGCUCAGGACUGCUGGGCACAGUCUUGAUAUGUAUGGGUUGAGUAAUCAGCCUGAAUAGAAUCCAAAUCAAAUAAAAACACUUUUUAAAAGAUUACCUGAAAAGGGCAAGAACUUUAGAGUCAGGGAUAUGUGGGUUCAUAUCCUUGCUCUGCCAGUUACUAAUUGGGUGACCCUGGGCAACCAGCUCACUCCAUCCUCGUUGGCAGCGUCUUCAGUUGCCAAGCCUACUUUGCAGGGCUGCUGUGGAUUAAACGAUCAAGAGUUGCAAAGCCUGCAGCACAGAGCCUACUGUGGACCAAGUACUGGGAACACAUCAGCACAUAAGACAGAGGCCCCCUGUUAGCUUGGCUGAUACCAGCUACAGGCUUGUUUAUUUAGACAGAAAAGUACUCACAAAUAACACCUCCUGACUUCUAAAGGAGGUAGAAAUCACUUAAGAACAAAUCAAACCCUCUUUACUGUAAGUUAUCUUCUCCAGUGUGAUAAGGAUUUAGUAUACAUAUUUUUACGUGCCAUUUCAGGAAGAUAUCAACCUCUUCUAAGAUAGGAGCUCAGGGGAGCAACUUUAAGAAUUCAUUUAAAAAUCAGCAAAUUCACACCAAACAAAAAGAACAUUCAUUCAAGCUAAAGUUAUUUUACAAAUAAAAGGCUGGCUCAUUUUCCUCACAGAACUCAGAAGACACUCAGGAAGAACUGCAAGUAGAAUAAAAUGAAGAUCAAGUCUCAAAUUCAGUUUACAGAUCCAAAGGUGGAAAUUUUGGGCAGAUUUUCUAAGUAAAACCCACAUAUUUUUCUUUAAAUGAAACUCACUCACACUUUCAGAUAGACUCAGUUAAGGUUAAACAGAGUGUGCACUCUGCAUGGAUGGGCCUUAUGAGAAAUACCAAUGCAUGCUUCAAGGAAUGCAUGACUUCAUGCCUUCUGACAGCUCCAUUCCACAAACAUCCCAUAAUGACGCCCAUUUAAAGCAAGGACUUUCAAUAAUGAAGGUUAUACAUGGCUAUAAAAUGUAAAACAUAGGUAAACAUGCACACAGUCUUUGGCCAGUCACAGUAAGUAACAACGCAUGUAUCAAAAGCUCAGUUUAAAAACUUCAGGUCAUUCAUUAAGCUGUCCCUUCACAAAAUUAUUUAUUGUUUAUUUUUAUGUCCAGGUUGAAAAAUAACUGCAGCUUGCUAUUAUACAGCUCCCAAUUAAUCCAAACUGUCAUAAUCCAUUUCCAGGCCACCAAACACAACUCGUGAGGUGUCAAUUGGCAUCAUGUGUCUUUCACAAGGAUUAUAACUCCUUAAGAAAACAUCCAAGAGCAGGACCUGAGGCAAACUAGAAAUAAAGACUGCAUAAAACAAAAACAAAAACAAAAACAAAAAAAACUCAGCACUUUUUUCUUACACAUCUACUUUGCUCCAGACUAGUGUUUUCCCUAAACUUUUGUUAUUCACAACUAAACCAUAUUUUGGAUCCUUUUCCAAAUCUGCACAAUAUCUAGACCAUUAUUUACUUAAUAUAUUUUUUAAAAUUCAGUGGCUGACUAGGGACUAAUUUAGCAUUAUCCUAAGCAAUAAUAUCUCUGAAAGAAUGACUUUGUAUUUGAUGUAGGAGUUUUUUAUAUAUAUAUGUAUAUAUUUUUUCUCACGAAUAUUAAAAAAUAUUUGGCAUACCAUUGAAAAUCACACCAUGGACUACACAUGAACAUCGAGCAUUUAAUAUUUCCUCACUACUUUCAUUGUUGUCAACUUUUCCCUCUAAAUUUUCUUAUUCUUCUUAAAAGCACUCACAUAUGGCCUGACAAGCAAACAUGGUCCUACUCCAUCCACUCUUUGUAGUCCCAGGUCCUUUUUAUUCCUAAAUCUGCUUUAUCUUUGAUCCAAUUUCUUUAUGUUCCCCAGGCACUUGAUGAAACUAUUCCAGAGAGAGCUGAGUGUAGUCUAAUUGCUUAAAAGGAAGCAAGUCGGUGGGACUGUCCCUGGAACAUUCAAAUCUCAAGUUGGGGAAUUCAGAACUGACCUCUGACAUGCAGUGCCUCAAAGGACAAUUAGCCAAAAUUGGGGCUGGGAGGCAACUCCAGAGCAUGCUUAGGUGGGUUACAAAUGGCACUGGAAAACACUGAGAAAGAAAAAGUCCUUGCCACAAAGCACUCGGCAUCAUUUCCACUAGAGAGAUUUAACUGAAAAGGAUGAUUUCAACACUGGCUGCCCUAACAAAUUAGUCUCCAACUGCUACCUCUGCCAAAGGCAUCUCUCCUCCCCCUAAUGCGGAGGUGCUUUUAAAUUAAAACCUAACGGGAAAGUGCAGAAAAGAGAGUCAUUUAUAGCACUUGGGCCACUUGAAACAACUUUUCACCAAAGGUCCUAAUCAAAUUAUCAAGCUCUUGAAGUCAGCGCUUUAUGACAUAAAUAAAGGCCCCACUAAAGUAUUCGGGUCUCCUGGCAUUUCCACGUCUCUGGGCAGAGCGCGCACUGCAGCAUACCCAUUCACACUGGCUGCAUGAAAGAGAACAGAUCACAAAGGGCAGAUUACAAGGGAGAACGACUCCACUCCAGUGGGGGAAGGGACAGGCGUGAAUGGAUUGUAAAUAAUGUUGCUAAGAAAGGAGCAGAAAUAUGGCAACCUCAAAUAAUCCUCUUGCCAGGAAUUCUUCCCAAAAGGACUGUUCUUUCUAAACUCUGCUUUCAAAUACCACACAAUGAAUGACAUGCUGGCUGACACUUCUACUUUGCUAACAGCCAUAAGGACUUCUCUCUGCUAUCCUCAGAGAGCACGGUGUUACCCAAAUGAUGCUGACAGAGUACAGCAAUAAAUCACCCUGGCCGAUUUAUUUGACCUCA